rnacentral:rRNA from 1 species
ACGUACACUCCUGCGGGAGGCAGCAGUGGGGAAUAUUGCACAAUGGGCGCAAGCCUGAUGCAGCCAUGCCGCGUGUAUGAAGAAGGCCUUCGGGUUGUAAAGUACUUUCAGCGGGGAGGAAGGCGAUAAGGUUAAUAACCUUGUUGAUUGACGUUACCCGCAGAAGAAGCACCGGCUAACUCCGUGCCAGCAGCCGCGGUAAUACGGAGGGUGCAAGCGUUAAUCGGAAUUACUGGGCGUAAAGCGCACGCAGGCGGUCUGUCAAGUCGGAUGUGAAAUCCCCGGGCUCAACCUGGGAACUGCAUUCGAAACUGGCAGGCUAGAGUCUUGUAGAGGGGGGUAGAAUUCCAGGUGUAGCGGUGAAAUGCGUAGAGAUCUGGAGGAAUACCGGUGGCGAAGGCGGCCCCCUGGACAAAGACUGACGCUCAGGUGCGAAAGCGUGGGGAGCAAACAGGAUUAGAUACCCCAGUAGUCCCA